AGGUCUUACACAAUCCUAAAUGGAAAGAUUUGCUGAGCUGAAGGUAAAUGAGCCCUGUGUGGAGCAGUCCUGGAAGGCUAGAAUUGUGUGUUGGGACAAAGAGCGACAACAGUAACUAACUCUUAUUGUCUCAGUCCUUCUGGUAAGGAGGAAGCUAAGCAACUGACAGAGUCACACAGCGAGUGGUCGCAGACCAGGAGGGAGAGGCGACAGGGAGGAGGAUGUCACCAAAGAUAACACCGAGGAUUCUGAGGACCCAGGGGAGGCAAAGUGAUUUCAAGUAUGUCCUGGUAUGUCCCAGGAAGUCAGGAAGACGGUGUGAUGGAUGGUCACGGCGACAAAGCAGGAAGCUGUGUACUCCGUCCCAAUCCUGUUCCAUGUGAAUUACUGUCCAGGAUAGUGAAAUGUGGCCGGCAGUGGAAGGAGCCCAGAGCGUUACCUGCGCAGUUCAUCCACAGACCCUGGUAAACCCAGGUGGCGGUAAUCACAGACGACGCUCGGGUGGUCACUUUCCAUUCGUUGGAUGUGGUGGCAGCGACGAGAGCACCAAACCCUCCAACACCACACACCAGAGCUGAGAUCUGUGCCCUGGACAUGUCGCUCAGCCUUGCCUGCUGCCACAGUCCACACAGAAGGCUUUGGUGGCCUAGGCAUGCAGACACUGGACAAAACUUCCACGAAUGUUAAAGCCAGCCCAUGAGGGUAGGUGACAAUUCUUCAUAAUCUCAUGGCUUGAAGUGUGGGAAAUUAGAAUAAAGUAUAUCACACUAAGGGCAUCUUAGAGAUAGCUUAGAAUAAUCUUUCUAAUUCCCUACUGAAAUACCAAAACUUUGUAGAGGAAUCUUGAAGGUGUUGGUACUGCAGAUAUUUUUUUCUCUUGUUAGCAGCAUAGUUAAUGCUUAAUUUCCUGUUAGCUUGAAAGUUAGCGAACCAUGCAAUGAUCAAAUAUUACAAAGUACAGAUUAUACAGUAACAUUUAAAGGCUCCUUAUUUGACCAAUUUCUUUACGUUUACACGUUGUUGAGGCUUUACAUAAGUGGAGUCACGCUGUAAGGAUUCUCCUGUAACCUCUUUAAUUAGUCUCAUGUGUGUGUGUGGAUUUAUCUGUGUUCACAAGUGUGGCUAUCAAUCAUCUGACAGCUGGAUAUGUUAUUUCAGUAAAGGCUUACACCACAAUGCAUUCACUUUCUUUGAGAUGAAUAUUGGUCCUGUUUUUCUCCUCAGUUUCAAGUAGCCACACUCAAACAUGACUGUGAAUUUUCUCUUGUGGCCCCUAGAGAGGGGUCCCAAGGAUGUAGCUUAGAAGGUGACUUGCCAGUGUGCUGGAAACACAUCUUCCUAGAUGAUUCUGGAUUACCCGCCUCUGUAAAUCCAGCACUCAUCCAGUCAUCAUAAUGAGUGAGUUCUCGUGGCUCUGAUUCCUAAUUCUUGGCGUUGUGGCACUAACAGAAUUUUAACAUUCUAGCCAACUUGAUUACAGUUUCAGAGAUUGUAUUAUGUCCACUGAUUCAUAUUUGUCAUUAUAAAUGAGGCUGGAGUACCUGUUUUGUGCAAUCGCUGAUUUAACCAUGGUUUUUCAUCUGUCCUGAAGGGUGACAUAUUUUGCUUGUUAAUCUGGUGCACUGUUUAAGUUGUUCAAUUUGUUUUUAAUUUUAUAAAUUUGGGAAAAUUAUCUUUCAGUGUUAUGCUAUACAUUUCUUUGUGGUUUGUCUGUAGGUGGACUUUUGAAAAAAUCUUUACUUUUAAAAUAUCUCUCUCUCUCUCCCUCUCUCUCUCUCUCUCUCUCUCUCUCUCUCUGUCUCUCGGGGUUGGGGGCACACAUGUACUACAUGUGGAGGUCAGAGGACGGCUAUAGUGAUCGUCUUCAUUUUCCACUUUGUAGGAAUGUUGCUUUGCCACAGAAUUCCCCAGACCAGCUUGCCUGUGAGCUCACAGGAGUCUCCUGUCUCCGUCUCCUUCCUCUGUACCUUUAAAGUUCUAGUUUUCACAUCUCCAUUCUCACAUAAUCCGGGGUUGGUUGUCUCCUGUGUCGUGACAUGUGAUGUGUUUUACUUCUUGAUAAAGAAAGGAGAAUUCUAAACUUCUUUAUCAGGUAGCCUCUUGUUUCUCUGUGGAUUUGCCACAUUUCCUCCCUCCGAUCUGGUUCCAAUAUUUGUAUGGCCUGUUUUUGUAUUCUUCUUUUUUCUCUCCUUUGGUCACCCCAAAUCAUUCAAUAUGCCUAUUUACGUAUGCAAAUUUUAUAAAUAUACUUAAAAGGUUUUUUUGGUGAAUCUUACUUUGCUUUUCUUUCCCCCCAAAUGUUCUUUGCUAUUCUUUCUGUAAAAUGAAGUAUUAACUUAUGUGUGUACACGCAUCCUCGAAUGAUCAUCGGUACUUAAUUUUCUCUUCUGCAUCCGUUCAUCAAUAUGAAGAAGACACGACAAAUUUGGAUCUCCUCUUCAUAAACAAUAUGUAUAACACUAUGCAUCUGUUCAUAUACUUAUCCAUCAUUUUUCUUUAAA